rnacentral:rRNA from 1 species
GAUGAACGCUGGCGGCGUGCUUAACACAUGCAAGUCGAACGGAAAGGCUCCUGCUUGCAGGGGCACUCGAGUGGCGAACGGGUGAGUAACACGUGGUGAUCUGCCCUGCACUUCGGGAUAAGCCUGGGAAACUGGGUCUAAUACCGGAUAGGACCAUCGUUUAGUGUCGGUGGUGGAAAGUUUUUUCGGUGUGGGAUGAGCUCGCGGCCUAUCAGCUUGUUGGUGGGGUAAUGGCCUACCAAGGCGUCGACGGGUAGCCGGCCUGAGAGGGUGUACGGCCACAUUGGGACUGAGAUACGGCCCAGACUCCUACGGGAGGCAGCAGUGGGGAAUAUUGCACAAUGGGCGCAAGCCUGAUGCAGCGACGCCGCGUGGGGGAUGACGGCCUUCGGGUUGUAAACUCCUUUCGCCAGGGACGAAGCGAAAGUGACGGUACCUGGAUAAGAAGCACCGGCUAACUACGUG